CCUGGUGUGCUCUGGUCGUUGGGGUCAUGAGGGGUCGGACAUGACUUAACAACUAAACAAGAAAGCUCAUCCUCCAGUCAGAAGGCGGGGUCUUCCUACAAUAGUUUACACUUACGACUAUAAGGACGGGGUGGCUACGACAACGCCUGCUCCAAGCGCAACGUCACUGUUGAACUCCGAUCCCGGAUUUCUAGAGAAACGGGGGGGAGGUAAGAAGAAGACGAGUGUUUAGAGUCUGGGGGAUGUCCAGACUUAACGGGAGACGUCGCGUGGGGUCCGCCUUAAAAGUCAGGCAGUGGAGUGAACGGCCCGUCUCGGGUCUUGAGAAAGCCGUUACAGGGUCCUACGGAGAGCGACAGACACAGAAAGGGAGUGAGAGCGGCCUAGAGGGACGAGGCGGCGCAAUGGCGAGGAGCGCAGAACCUCAGAAGCCUGUGAAUGGAUGAGUAGGAUCAUCUUUAGAAUGAAAUCAACAGCGAAAGAAGUCUGAAGGUAGCAGGAAGGUAUUCUGUUUGGAAAAUAGUCUGAGUCAUGUGGGAGCUUAUCUAAUUAUUGCUACUUUCACCUGCUGGUUUGGCUUUUGCUCCUAAAAUCAGCUCUUGAUCAGCUUACAGAGGACAUGCAGCUUGCUCUCUUAUAAGCAAAGAAGCACCUCAAAUGGGUGGGAAUUGUAUGGCGUCCCAAGGCUGCAUUGUGGCUCCCAAAGCCUUGUAAAAGAAAAAUAACCCUAUGAAUGUAUUUAACCACCUAUUUAAAGACAGAAUCUGAGCUCCAAGGCAUGUGGUUCUUUUAUUAAAUAAGGUGUGCCCUCACUUACCUCAGUUGUUACUAUAAUAAUAAUAUGCUGUCAAGCCACUUCUGAAUUAAUAACUACCAGAAGGUCGUAUUGUUAACAGCCCUGCUCAGGUCUUCCAGACUCAAGGGUACGGCAUUCCUUACUGAAUAUGGCAUGGAUCUUUUGCUUUUCUUGCUGCUUUCAACUUUCCCUAGCACUGCUGUUUUUUCCAGUUAAUCCUGCCUUCUCAUGGUACAUCUAAAGGAGAAUAGCCGCAAUUUAGUCAUCUCUGCUUCUAGAAAAUCAGGCUUGAUUUGAUCUGGUACCCAUUUAUUUGGCUUUCCGGCUAUCCAUUAUAUCUAUAAAGCUCUCCUCCAACAUGACAUUUUGAAGGAAUGAAUAUUUUUCCUGACAGCUUUUAUAUGCAUGCAUAGUAGUCAAGAAUACCACCAUAUUGAUAAAGUUGGCCUUAGUCUACAAUAACACAUCCUUGCACUCAUGAAUUUCCUCUAAUACCUUCAUAGGCACCUAUCAAGGUCUCUGCUUCCUUCCAGUUUCUUGGCUGCAAUCUUCAUUUUUAUUGAUAAGUAUACCAAGGUAUAGAAAAUUGUCAACAAUUUCAAUUUAAAGUCAUGUAAUUCUUAUGGAUUCAUGAUUUUUGUCUUUAUGCU
rnacentral:lncRNA from 1 species